UGGGGAAUUUUGGACAAUGGGCGAAAGCCUGAUCCAGCAAUGCCGCGUGUGUGAAGAAGGCCUUCGGGUUGUAAAGCACUUUUGUCCGGAAAGAAAUCCUCUGGGUUAAUACCUCGGGGGGAUGACGGUACCGGAAGAAUAAGCACCGGCUAACUACGUGCCAGCAGCCGCGGUAAUACGUAGGGUGCAAGCGUUAAUCGGAAUUACUGGGCGUAAAGCGUGCGCAGGCGGUUUUGUAAGACGGAUGUGAAAUCCCCGGGCUUAACCUGGGAACUGCAUUCGUGACUGCAAGGCUAGAGUAUGGCAGAGGGGGGUUAGAAUUCCACGUGUAGCAGUGAAAUGCGUAGAGAUGUGGAGGAAUACCGAUGGCGAAGGCAGCCCCCUGGGCCAAUACUGACGCUCAUGCACGAAAGCGUGGGGAGCAAACAGGAUUAGAUACCCUGGUAGUCCACGCCCUAAACGAUGUCAACUAGUUGUUGGGGAUUCAUUUCCUUAGUAACGUAGCUAACGCGUGAAGUUGACCGCCUGGGGGAGUACGGUCGCAAGAUUAAAACUCAAAGGAAUUGACGGGGUCAUAGCUGUUU
rnacentral:rRNA from 1 species